GACGUAGGGCGCAAGCGUUGUCCGGAUUUAUUGGGCGUAAAGAGCUCGUAGGCGGCUCAUCGCGUCUGCCGUGAAAACCCGCAGCUCAACUGCGGGCUUGCGGUUGAUACGGGUGGGCUGGAGUUCGGUAGGGGAGACUGGAAUUCCUGGUGUAGCGGUGAAAUGCGCAGAUAUCAGGAGGAACACCGGUGGCGAAGGCGGCAUCCUGGACCGGCAUUGACGCUGAGGCGCGAAAGCCAGGGGAGCAAACAGG
rnacentral:rRNA from 1 species